UACGGGGGGGGGCAAGCGUUGUUCGGAAUUACUGGGCGUAAAGGGCUCGUAGGCGGCCAACUAAGUCAGACGUGAAAUCCCUCGGCUUAACCGGGGGAACUGCGUCUGAUACUGGAUGGCUUGAGUUUGGGAGAGGGAUGCGGAAUUCCAGGUGUAGCGGUGAAAUGCGUAGAUAUCUGGAGGAACACCGGUGGCGAAGGCGGCAUCCUGGACCAACACUGACACUGAGGAGCGAAAGCCAGGGGAGCAAAACGGG
rnacentral:rRNA from 1 species